rnacentral:lncRNA from 1 species
AUGAAACCUGUCUCUACAAAAAAUACAAAAAUUAUCCGGGCAUAGUGGUGUGUGCCUAUAGUCCCAGAUACUUGGGAGGCUGAGGCAGGAACAUCACUUGAGCCUGGGAGGUCGAGGCUUGCAAUGAGCCAUAUUUACACCACUGCACUCCAGCCUGGGUGACAGAACGAGACCUUGUCUUAGAAAAGAAAAAAAAAAGUGGAUAUAGAAACACCACCCAAAUGUGUGGUUGUUAGGAAAACACUGGGGUUUAGGGUGUAGCUUAUUAUCCCAAGAAAUCCAAGUUUAGAAGUUGAAAAUUGCAUGGCAUUAAUUUUUUAUUUUUUUAGAGACAGGGUCUCUGUCACCCAGGCUGGAGUGCAGCAGCAUGAUCAUAGUUCACUGUACUUUGAACCUUGAACUCCUGGGUUCAAAGGAUCAUCCUGCCUCAGCCUCCCAAGUAGCUGGGACCACAGGUGCACGCCACCAUGCCGAGCUAAUGUUUUGUAUUUUUAAUAGAGAAGGGGUUUCGCCAUGUUACCCAGGCUGGUCUCAAAACUCCUGAGCUCAAGCAAUCUGUCCGCCUCACCCUCCAAAAGUGCUGGAAUUACAGGCGUGAGCCACCACACCUGGCCUGCCUGGCUAAUUGUGUUAAAAUUUUUUUAUAGAGAAGGGGUCUCUUUAUGUCUUCCAGACUGAUCUUGAACUCCUGGCCUCAAGCAAUUCUGCCUUGGCCUCCUGAAGUGCUGGGACUACAUAUGUGAGUCACCCACCCUGCAGGCUUUUUUUUUUCUUUUUGGACAGGGUCUCACUCUUUUGCCCAGGCUGGAGUGCAGUGGCUCAAUCUUGGCUCACCGCAAACUCCACCUCCCAGAAUCGAGCGAUCCUUCUACAUACAGGCAGGCGUAUUUUGAGGCCCCAACUCUGCUCAAUCCUGCAAGAUCAACUCUAAGAUUCCCAUAUUUUUGAUUUGAAAGACCCAUCUUAGUUCAUACCGAACGUUGCCCUUUGGCUCUUAGGGACUCAGUUAUUGCUGUGCUCCUAGUUUGAUGAAUUGGUAGCGUGAAAGGAAAAUAAGCCUCGGGACACAAAAAUCACUACGCCGACGGGAAAGUCAAGCUGGGAACUGCAUCAGGUAAAACUGCCUCCCAUUUUAUUUCUAAAUGAGAUAGCUGCAAAGAUAAAAAAGCGACGUACCUCCCUCACAAUGUGCCCACGAGGAAAUUCCUUUACUUUACUAUAAAACAUCUUUACUAUAAAACAGUUACUCAACAUCUUUACUAUAAAACAGUUAUGAUGAAUUUCACCCUGGCAAUGUAAAUUGAUGGCUCGUCUUCACAGGUGCGGGAGAGACAGUCAUCCCACUGGCCACCUGAGACAAAUGCAUAUUUGAUUGCUUCCUCUGCC